UACGUAGGGGGCGAGCGUUGUCCGGAAUGAUUGGGCGUAAAGGGCGCGUAGGCGGCCGAGUAAGUCUGGAGUGAGAGUCCUGUUUUCAAGAUGGGAAUUGCUUUGGAUACUGCAUGGCUUGAGUGCAGGAGAGGUUAUCGGAAUUCCCCGUGUAGCGGUGAAAUGCGUAGAGAUCGGGAGGAACACCAGUGGCGAAGGCGGGUAACUGGACUGCAACUGACGCUGAGGCGCGAAAGUGUGGGGAGCAAAC
rnacentral:rRNA from 1 species